rnacentral:rRNA from 1 species
AGUGAACGCUGGCGGUAGGCCUAACACAUGCAAGUCGAACGGCAGCACAGUAAGAGCUUGCUCUUACGGGUGGCGAGUGGCGGACGGGUGAGGAAUACAUCGGAAUCUACUUUUUCGUGGGGGAUAACGUAGGGAAACUUACGCUAAUACCGCAUACGACCUACGGGUGAAAGCAGGGGAUCUUCGGACCUUGCGCGAUUGAAUGAGCCGAUGUCGGAUUAGCUAGUUGGCGGGGUAAAGGCCCACCAAGGCGACGAUCCGUAGCUGGUCUGAGAGGAUGAUCAGCCACACUGGAACUGAGACACGGUCCAGACUCCUACGGGAGGCAGCAGUGGGGAAUAUUGGACAAUGGGCGCAAGCCUGAUCCAGCCAUACCGCGUGGGUGAAGAAGGCCUUCGGGUUGUAAAGCCCUUUUGUUGGGAAAGAAAAGCAGCGGGUUAAUACCCCGCUGUUCUGACGGUACCCAAGGAAUAAGCACCGGCUAACUUCGUG